rnacentral:rRNA from 1 species
UUGGAGGGCAAGUCUGGUGCCAGCAGUCGCGGUAAUUCCAGCUCCAAUAGCGUAUAUUAAAGUUGUUGCAGUUAAAAAGCUCGUAGUUGAAUUUCGGGGUCAGCAGGUUGGUCGUGCCAAUGGUAUGCACUGGCCUUGCUGAUUCCUCCCUCUUGAUGAGCCGUAAUGUCAUUAAUUUGGUGUUGCGGGGAAUCAGGACUGUUACUUUGAAAAAAUUAGAGUGUUUAAAGCAGGCAAGCGCUUGAAUACAUUAGCAUGGAAUAAUGAAAUAGGACGUUUGAUCCUAUUUUGUUGGUUUCUAGGAUUGACGUAAUGAUUAAUAGGGAUAGUUGGGGGCAUUAGUAUUCAAUUGUCAGAGGUGAAAUUCUUGGAUUUAUUGAAGACUAACUACUGCGAAAGCAUUUGCCAAGGAUGUUUUCAUUAAUCAAGAACGAAAGUUAGGGGAUUGAAGACGAUCAGAUACCGUCGUAGUCUUAACCAUAAACUAUGCCGACUAGGAAUCGGAUGAUGUUAAUUUUUUAAUGACUCAUUCGGCGCCUUACGGGAAAC